AAGAGCGAUGACAAUUUCUCUCCAGCCAGAGCCUGUUUGUUUGGAAAUUGGAACUGAAUAGAUCAAUGAAGGCACAUGACAUGAUACGCUGAUCCAAGGAAAUCACAGUGCCGAUUCUACUUAAGAAUCUUGUACAACGAUGAUCAUUCAGUAACGGUUUUUGCUACAAAUCUCAAAAUCGGAUCUCCAAGUUCCUUCAUUUGAGCUCUCUUUGCUCAUUCGUGCUGCAAUGAAUGUUUUUGGCAGCUUUGUUUAGGUUGAUAAGAUAUCGAGGUGACAUAAAACCUCUGUCCAUGGUCGUGAAGUUUUGGCAAGAAUAGGCAUGGUGAUGAAAUUCUUGCUAUUGCCAACAUCGCCCAGGUAUUCGUCCUUCUUUAUCCUUUUAAAUUUGUGAUGCUUCUCUACGCAUUUUCCAUUGUGCCUAAUGUUUAGAUCCAAACACAGUCUUUGUAGAAUGAAAUGAUACCUCUUUCAAGGUUGGCCCCAGGUGUACCCUGUCUCUCCACUGAGUCUCAUAUUUGAACACUUGCAAAGAGAUUAUUAUGAAGGGUAUCCACUUUCAGCUAAAUUUUUUAUAAUGGGUGGCAGUAGUCAGUCACUCUCUCAACAAGACAGAAAAGACAGCAGAAAAAUCUUUAGUUUGAUCAUUUGACAGAGCAUAAAAGGUGGGAAACAAUCUUGGUCCACCCUGCUGAUUCAAAACCCUACAAUAAAUCCUUGGUCAAAGCACUUUUCAUAAUAAAAGGUUAAUUGGCUUUGCUAUGAGCAUGAUUAAGAAAGUAGGGGUUUUGCACCUAGUCCAAGCCUCACCAAAUGUUGUGAUGAAAUCAGCGUGGUGGUAAUUCUAUUUAGAGGGGAGGAACAAUGUUUUAACAUUUUAUCAAUGUGUUGAGGAUCUGUCUAAUCAAAACUGUGACCUUGGUGUUUGGCUUCAUUUAAAUGGUGCCCAACAUGAUGGUUUCAUCUGAAUGAAGGGGGUGAAAAGAGAGUUGAUGCUAAUAGCCUCUUUGAUUUUGAAUGACCCAAGCCUCACCAAAUGUUGUGAUGAAAUCAGCGUGGUGGUAAUUCUAUUUAGAGGGGAGGAACAAUGUUUUAACAUUUUAUCAAUCUGUUGAGGAUCUGUCUAAUCAAAACUGUGACCUUGGUGUUUGGCUUCAUUUAAAUGGUGCCCAACAUGAUGGUUUCAUCUGAAUGAAGGGGGUGAAAAGAGAGUUGAUGCUAAUAGCCUCUUUGAUUUUGAAUGACCUUUCACGUUUAGUAUAUGAUGCAAGCAUUUAUAUUAGAGGUAAUCAUGAUUUGCUACCAGCUCUUCAAUUUUUCAAACAUUCUUGUCUCAGAUAUGUGUGACUAUUAUUAGUGAGUUUCAACCAAAUCCACAAAUAUUCCUUCCCCAUUGACACCACAACAUCUGAGUUGCUUGUUAUAGCAGCAAGUUCCAUUUAUGACUGGCAUCCAUUACUGAUCUCCAAAAAAGGAAAAAAAAAACUAUGGAAUUAUCUUGGAGUCAUGACUAGUAGAGUAUCAUUUCUACCCAAAGCCAUCCUGGGUUUGAGUUCUUGGGCCCUGUGACAUCUAUCAUAAAUUGGCCAAAAAAAAAAAGAAAUUUAUCAGACCUUUUCAAUAAGGUAAGUUACACAUUUGCGUAGUUCAAUGUAUGGUUAAUCAUCAUAUUUUUGUAUUUACUGCCAUAGCACUGUGAAAUCUAAAUCACCAUAGUUAUAGGCCAACAAUUAUAUACCUCCAAGGACUGCAUGAAAAUUCUUGAAGAAACAGAGCAAAACUACAGUAGAUACAAUAUUACCGUUUCUUUUCCAGUGCUGAACAAGUUGUCUCUCAUUUCUUCAGUGGUAUAUUGAAUAAGUAAAAAAUCAUUACAAUAUUGUGACUUAGUACAAGUGGUCAUGAACUUCUGAAUUGUAUACAGUAUGAAAGAAAUAUCUCUCAAUUAGUUGUCAGGACAAAAGGUUCAUAUUGUAAAACGAACUCCUCCUUCCUUGCGUCUUCAUGUUAACUUGAGCAUUUCAUAAUGUGCUUUCGGUUUGCUUUACCUGCAAAAUACACAAGGAUUGUGUGAGUGUGAAACGACUUUCCUUUUUUAUUUUCUGAACUUUGAUAUUAUUGUUCUCAAUUAGUAGACUGCCUUUUAGAACACUCAAAAGUUCUUCUGAUCCACAUAUGGCCAAUCUGCUGCCAGAUUGGAUGUGUUUGUUUUGUUCAUUAAGCCAAAACAUAUGGUGGAAUUAAGGAUGCACGAGCAUGUGCUUAUGUGAGGAUGACUUGAAUUAUUACAUAGUUUAUAGCAUGGCUGUUUGAAUGCUGGAUCUUCAGUUAUUGCCGGAGGCUCCUGACCAAAUAUCAUCUCACAGCUCAUAUCAUCAAAAUCUACAAAUCAGACAGCAAACCAUUAGUAACUUAGCUGCAGUAGACAGAUCCCCUUCAUUUAAAUCAUCGUGUGUUGAUUGCAAAAUUUUAACAGUGGUGGCCCUGCACUCAGCUAAUGAUUGGCACGUGGGAAUGUGACUAACGUUCAACUUAGGUGCUUGUUGUCAUGAUAUAUGGGAGCAGGUUAAGGAUCAUGAUUGGUUUCAUGGGAAACAGGUGAAAAUUAGCGGAUUGUAUUGAAUUUGGACGACUUGGUGGCACCAAUCAUGGAAUCAUAUAUUUUUAAUUAAUGUUCACUAAUUCAGGUAAUUUUGACUUGAUAUAUUAGCAGUAUUCUUCUAUAUGCUGAAAUUCACACCUUAGAUUGGAUGGGUUUACUUGCAGUUUUGCACCCUUAGUGGUUAUGCUUGGGCCCCCCUUGGGGCCCUCCAUUGACAUGAUGAGCAUGGCUUCCACAUUCUCUAGUGCAGGUACUAUUACUCCUUGAAGUAUAUCCCUUUUUAUUUUGUUCCUUUUCAAUUGCCAUGAGAGGAAAAAUGGAAAAAUCGUUGUUCUAUUGGCAACUUUCUAUUCCAAUGUUCUGCACAUUAUACGCCCUUUGCAGUGCAAAACAAAAUUUGAGUAUUGAUUUCUUAUGCAGUAGUGUUCUGUGUUUGUCCUUUCUUUCUUUUUGCCUCAAAUGCCGUCUCUUAUGAUUGUGCCACAUACAGUGAUUUGGUUCUUAUGCCUGUGUGGCCAUGCAUAUAGUUGCUGAAUGAGAAUACUUACUAGGAACCAUGUCAACUGGCAUUCCAAGGGAGUGCUUGAUAAAUGUUUGACUCGGAAUCUUACACAGAUUGGUACACAUCCCAACACAGUUUGUCUCCUCUAAAAACCUGCAAGGUGUAGGAUUGAUGGCUAAGAUACCAAGUGCAAUAAAAACUUUAAUGAUGAUUUGAAAAUGAUGAUGAUUAUUGCCAUUAUGAUGGUCAUGAUGGAAAUGGAGAAGGAGAGAGCCUUGAAGCAUCAAACUUAUUGGAGCAGAUUGAUUUACCAAGUAAAGUGUCCUAGGCUGGUGACAUGUAUGGGAUAGUGGGACCCCCGUAGGUUAUAAUAAUUAAGUUUGGAAUUGCAGGGAAGUUAUUUUACCUGCACUUUUUUAUGUGGACUACAUUCUUUUCCUUUUUUCCGUUGAACUCGGAUUCCCGCACCUUGUUUUGUAAAAUCCAUGAAAUCACUCUCGUUAGGGUAUAAUCACAGUUUAAUAGAAAUAUCUUAAUUCGCAAAA